ensembl:snoRNA
AAAGCAGGUCUGCAAUUGCAGCAGUUCUUGUGGUGGAGUGCUGUCAUUAACCCUGCUGAGAGCAUCUUCAUCCUCCUGCCGGAGAGCUCACACUC